UUAAACGUGAGAUUGUCUUGCUGUCAAGUUGUGUUCAGUUCUUUCCAUGUAGAACUUACUAGAAAUUCUUGCAUACAUCCUAAACAAAUAAAGAGCUGCAUGCAUUUAAAUUAAGCAGUUCCGAAGAAAGAAUUAUUUAAAGUUAUUUUGUUUGGAGAUGAGUUUCCUUUUCUACACCUUUGUGUAAAGGAUGGAGCCUCCACAAUGCCUAUGAGCCAUGCUUUUUCCCACCCAGUAAAGUGGUCUAUUUUCAAGUGGCACCAUAUGGCGAAGGAGGGGAUCCGGAUCAAGAGCCGUAAUGGUGCUUGUGAUGGCAUGUCUAGCACUUGCACGACCCUGGAGUCUGGCAUCUUCUUGCAAUAAGCAGUGUGUUGGGCUUGCAAGAUUACAGACACCGGUCUCUGUUUCCCUUUGCCGACGGAGUCUAUCGACAAGAGCGAUGGAUCUGGAGAUUGAUCAAGAGGUUACCCCCCACCGGUGCCACCUUUUGUCGACCUAACUGGCAUCUCCUCGGCCGUUUGGAACCAGCGAAUUAACUUGCACAUCUCUAGGUUAUGGUACCAGCGAGGUGGCUUUGAUGAUGGCCCUAUCAAGAGUAUACAUAUGGUCGUGACUGAUGAAAAGGGAAACCAUGCUAACGUGACAUUGCCUAACGAGGUUGUGGACAUGCUUGUGGACGAUCUACAUGAGAGAAAUUUAUAUGUAUGUGCCAGGAUCAGUGUGAAGCCC